AACGAACGCUGGCGGCAGGCCUAAAACAUGCAAGUCGAACGAACCUUCGGGUUAGUGGCGCACGGGUGCGUAACGCGUGGGAAUGUGCCUCUGGGUGCGGAACAACGUCGGGAAACUGACGCUAAUACCGCAUAAUAUCUACGGAUCAAAGAUUUAUCGCCCAGAGAUCAGCCCGCGUCUGAUUAGGUAGUUGGUAGGGUAAUGGCCUACCAAGCCUACGAUCAGUAGCUGGUCUGAGAGGAUGAUCAGCCACACUGGAACUGAGACACGGUCCAGACUCCUACGGGAGGCAGCAGUUAGGAAUAUUGGACAAUGGGGUAAACCCUGAUCCAGCCAUGCCGCGUGUGUGAAGAAGGCCUUAGGGUUGUAAAGCACUUUCGUCUAUGAAGAUAAUGACAGUAGUAGAAGAAGAAGCUCCGGCUAAAUUCGUGCCAGCCGCCGCGGUAA
rnacentral:rRNA from 1 species